rnacentral:rRNA from 1 species
AACGAACGCUGGCGGCGCGCCUAAUACAUGCAAGUCGAGCGGACCUCUUCGGAGGUCAGUGGCGGACGGGUGAGUAACACGUGGGCAACCUGCCUGUAAGACUGGGAUAACACCGGGAAACCGGUGCUAAUACCGGAUAAUCCUUUUCCUCACAUGAGGGGAAGCUGAAAGACGGUUUCGGCUGUCACUUACAGAUGGGCCCGCGGCGCAUUAGCUAGUUGGUGGGGUAACGGCCCACCAAGGCGACGAUGCGUAGCCGACCGGAGAGGGUGAUCGGCCACACUGGGACUGAGACACGGCCCAGACUCCUCCGGGAGGCAGCAGUAGGGAAUCUUCCGCAAUGGACGAAAGUCUGACGGAGCAACGCCGCGUGAGCGAAGAAGGCCUUCGGGUCGUAAAGCUCUGUUGUCAGGGAAGAACACGUACCGGAGUAACUGCCGGUACCUUGACGGUACCUGACCAGAAAGCCACGGCUAACUACGUGCCAGCAGCCGCCGUAACAC